rnacentral:rRNA from 1 species
CUAGCUGGUCUGAGAGGAUGACCAGCCACACUGGAACUGAGACACGGUCCAGACUCCUACGGGAGGCAGCAGUGGGGAAUAUUGCACAAUGGGCGCAAGCCUGAUGCAGCCAUGCCGCGUGUGUGAAGAAGGCCUUCGGGUUGUAAAGCACUUUCAGCGAGGAGGAAGGUGGUGAACUUAAUACGUUCAUCAAUUGACGUUACUCGCAGAAGAAGCACCGGCUAACUCCGUGCCAGCGGCCGCGGUAAUACGGAGCGUGCAAGCGUUAAUCGGAAUUACUGGGCGUAAAGCGCACGCAGGCGGUUUGUUAAGUCAGAUGUGAAAUCCCCCGGGGCUCAACCCUGGGGAACUGCAUUUGAAACUGGCAAGCUAGAGU